rnacentral:lncRNA from 1 species
AGGAGAAGCAGGGGCAGGAUGGCUGAGGAAGAGGGGCGGUUGGUCAAGGUUGGGUCAGGUAAGGACGCGGUAGUAGGCAAAGGCCAGAGAGCAGGUGGGGAGGCUGGGAGGUCCGUGGUUAGAGGACGGGUGCUGGUGGGACCUGGAGAUGGCGGUGCUGCCUCCACCCUCCCGAGCCUGGAGGCCUGACAGUUGCAUCUGAAAAAUCCAUAGCCACCAUCGUGUCAGCAGCACCGUGACCAUGGCUCACGACGUGGGGACGGGCAUUCGUGCCGCUUCCUCAGAAUAUUAACGACGGUCCCGGCAGAAUGCUGUAUGAAUAUUCAUAUGGAGAUCAAUCAAGCCUGGGCUGGCGGAUGGCACAGGGAGAGGGGCCCAGGUCCCAGCGGGCACACCUUGGCAGGGUGUGGCUGUAAGUCUCUGCCAGCUCCAGUCAGGAUCUGCCUCCCUUGGGAUGGGACAGGCCUGGGCCUGUUGUAUGGCCACAGGCAGAAGAGGCUGAUGGGUGACAUGACAUCACCACUUAGUGACUGCUCUCGUCCUGGGAGCCCAGAUGCUAGGGCGGGGCUCCUUCCCGGAAGACCCAGAGAAGUUCAUCUCAGGUUUAACGGGGGCACUGCUGCUUCAGACGCCAGGCAGUGGGUGGUGAGGUCCCUGUCCUCACUGGGGUCUGCAGCCGAGGACUGGCCACCGAGGCCCAGGCCAGGCAUGGGGAUGCUGGGUGGCCAGGGCCAGUCCUCGAGGGAACCCCUAGCACCUUGGGCCUGCCCCCAGCUCUCACGGCAGGAGAGGUUUCUUCCCACUCUGGUGACUGACGGCCUGGUGAAGGGAUUCACAGGACGGGAGCACAGUGGCUGGCGCCCUGGUGAAGGGAUUCACAGGACGGGAGCACGUGGGUUUCCAGUUCUUCCCAGCGGGCGCACGCAGGCCGGCACCCUCUCCCUCGCCUUUGGGCAAAACUCGAGUGCGGCUAGACCCUUGGCCCUGCUCACUGCGCUGGGCCGCGCUGCACCCAUUUUCUCCCAGGAAGGGUGGUCCCUGGGCUCCUUUGACCUGAACUGCUUCCGAGUGUGCUUCUCAGAACCAAGAGGGGCUGGCUCUGCACCCUGCCUACCUGUCCAGGGGUGGGGGCUGCCCUUUGAAGCUAUCAAUCUGGGUUUUAAGUGUGGAUUCAUUAUUGACAACACCAUGACAUCAUGCUGACAUGAAUUAUUUGUGUGUUUUUCAAAUUGUGCUGUGAUAACCCUGGC